AUAUAUAUAUAUAUAUAUAUAUAUAGAGAGAGAGAGAGAGAGAGAGAGAGAGAGAGAGAGAGAGAUUUGUCAAGAAACAUGGACAGCAUCAGUGUCAGUCGAGGCAUUUCUCUUCCCUAAACGUCUGUAAAGCCCUCCAGAAAACCAACAUUUAUUUAUGCUGAGGCUUUGUUUGUGCAGCAGCGCCGGGUCGAAGGGAAAUCACCUGCACCGCGAGCCGAUUUCUCAAAGAGCCGGGGCCCGACUCGUCCUUCAGUACAUUACCACCUACACAUCUCCUCACAAUACACACGCAUGCAUCCACACACUGAGCUAAUUACAGGGAGACUCCCGUCCCAUUUCUAUCUGAAUCACUGGAACAGAGGAGGAGAGACGCGCUGGGUCCUCUUUACUGAAAGGACAGGCUUGUGUCUUUGAGGUUUUUCUACAUAAAGAAGAGUAAACAAGGCCCUGGCGAGCUAAUUGAGCGGAACGGCAUCCCUGCUGAUCCUACGAGGGAAAACCAUCAAAAGAGCCAAAGAGAGAGAAGCUGAGCAGAGAGACAUAUUUUGAUGUUUCUCCUGAUCUAAAAGAGCCAAAAAGAGUCUCAACUUUGUCUCAAAGUCUGCAAUGAAAAGCCAGAGACCGCAAUAUAAACUCCUUUAUACGUCUCUUCUGUUCACCAGUGCUGCAUUUAUUUAAUCAAAAAUACAGUAAAAAAUUGUGAAUUAUUAU
ensembl:lncRNA